AGCGAAUCGAUGGGAGCUUGCUCCCUGAGAUUAGCGGCGGACGGGUGAGUAACACGUGGGCAACCUGCCUAUAAGACUGGGAUAACUUCGGGAAACCGGAGCUAAUACCGGAUACGUUCUUUUCUCGCAUGAGAGAAGAUGGAAAGACGGUUUACGCUGUCACUUAUAGAUGGGCCCGCGGCGCAUUAGCUAGUUGGUGAGGUAAUGGCUCACCAAGGCGACGAUGCGUAGCCGACCUGAGAGGGUGAUCGGCCACACUGGGACUGAGACACGGCCCAGACUCCUACGGGAGGCAGCAGUAGGGAAUCUUCCGCAAUGGACGAAAGUCUGACGGAGCAACGCCGCGUGAACGAAGAAGGCCUUCGGGUCGUAAAGUUCUGUUGUUAGGGAAGAACAAGUACCAGAGUAACUGCUGGUACCUUGACGGUACCUAACCAGAAAGCCACGGCUAACUACGUGCCAGCAGCCGCGGUAAUACGUAGGUGGCAAGCGUUGUCCGGAAUUAUUGGGCGUAAAGCGCGCGCAGGUGGUUCCUUAAGUCUGAUGUGAAAGCCCACGGCUCAACCGUGGAGGGUCAUUGGAAACUGGGGAACUUGAGUGCAGAAGAGGAAAGUGGAAUUCCAAGUGUAGCGGUGAAAUGCGUAGAGA
rnacentral:rRNA from 1 species